rnacentral:rRNA from 1 species
AGUGAACGCUGGCGGUAGGCCUAACACAUGCAAGUCGAACGGCAGCACAGUAAGAGCUUGCUCUUACGGGUGGCGAGUGGCGGACGGGUGAGGAAUACAUCGGAAUCUACUUUUUCGUGGGGGGUAACGUAGGGAAACUUACGCUAAUACCGCAUACGACCUACGGGUGAAAGCAGGGGAUCUUCGGACCUUGCGCGAUUGAAUGAGCCGAUGUCGGAUUAGCUAGUUGGCGGGGUAAUGGCCCACCAAGGCGACGAUCCGUAGCUGGUCUGAGAGGAUGAUCAGCCACACUGGAACUGAGACACGGUCCAGACCCCUACGGUAGGCAGCAGUGGGGAAUAUUGGACAAUGGGCGCAAGCCUGAUCCAGACAUACCGCGUGGGUGAAGAAGGCCUUCGGGUUGUAAAGCCCUUUUGUUGGGAAAGAAAAGCAGCAGGUUAAUACCCCGCUGUUCUGACGGUACCCAAAGAAUAAGCACCGGCUAACUUCGUG